GCCCGGGUGGCGGAAUUGGUAGACGCGCUAGCUUGAGGUGCUAGUCCACAAUUUAACGUGGGUACGGGUUCAAGUCCCGUCUCGGGCA
rnacentral:tRNA from 1 species